rnacentral:rRNA from 1 species
GAUGAACGCUGGCGGCGUGCCUAAUACAUGCGAGUCGAGCGAACAGACGAGGAGCUUGCUCCUCUGACGUUAGCGGCGGACGGGUGAGUAACACGUGGAUAACCUACCUAUAAGACUGGGAUAACUUCGGGAAACCGGAGCUAAUACCGGAUAAUAUAUUGAACCGCAUGGUUCAAUAGUGAAAGACGGUUUUGCUGUCACUUAUAGAUGGAUCCGCGCCGCAUUAGCUAGUUGGUAAGGUAACGGCUUACCAAGGCAACGAUGCGUAGCCGACCUGAGAGGGUGAUCGGCCACACUGGAACUGAGACACGGUCCAGACUCCUACGGGAGGCAGCAGUAGGGAAUCUUCCGCAAUGGGCGAAAGCCUGACGGAGCAACGCCGCGUGAGUGAUGAAGGUCUUCGGAUCGUAAAACUCUGUUAUUAGGGAAGAACAAAUGUGUAAGUAACUAUGCACGUCUUGACGGUACCUAAGCAGAAAGCCACGGCUAACUACGU